rnacentral:rRNA from 1 species
UUACGGGAGGCAGCAGUCGAGAAUUUUUCACAAUGGGCGCAAGCCUGAUGGAGCGACGCCGCGUGGGGGAUGAAGGGUUUCGAUCCGUAAACCCCUGUCAUUUGCGAACAAACCUUAUGCAAUAACACUGCAUGAGUUGAUUGUAGUGAAAGAGGAAGGGACGGCUAACUCUGUGCCAGCAGCCGCGGUAAUACAGAGGUCCCGAGCGUUGUUCGGAUUCACUGGGCGUAAAGGGUGCGUAGGUGGCCAGGUAAGUUUGAUGUGAAAGCUCGGAGCUUAACUCCGAAAUGGCAUUGAAUACUCUCUGGCUUGAGGGUUGGAGGGGAGACUGGAAUUCUCGGUGUAGCAGUGAAAUGCGUAGAUAUCGAGAGGAACACCAGUGGCGAAGGCGAGUCUCUGGACAACACCUGACACUGAGGCACGAAAGCUAGGGGAGCAAACAGGAUUAGAUACCCUGGUAGC